rnacentral:rRNA from 1 species
GAUGAACGCUGGCGGCGUGCCUAAUACAUGCAAGUAGAACGCUGAAGGAGGAGCUUGCUCUUCUGGAUGAGUUGCGAACGGGUGAGUAACGCGUAGGUAACCUGCCUGGUAGCGGGGGAUAACUAUUGGAAACGAUAGCUAAUACCGCAUGACAACAGUUAUUGCAUGAUAACUGUUUAAAAGGGGCAACUGCAAAACUAAAAAAAAAAAAUGCGUUGUAUUAGCUAGUUGGUGAGGUAACGGCUCACCAAGGCGACGAUACAUAGCCGACCUGAGAGGGUGAUCGGCCACACUGGGACUGAGACACGGCCCAGACUCCUACGGGAGGCAGCAGUAGGGAAUCUUCGGCAAUGGACGGAAGUCUGACCGAGCAACGCCGCGUGAGUGAAGAAGGUUUUCGGAUCGUAAAGCUCUGUUGUAAGAGAAGAACGAGUGUGAGAGUGGAAAGUUCACACUGUGACGGUAUCUUACCAGAAAGGGACGGCUAACUACGUG